GGGUCGGUGGCAGAGCGGUCAAUUGCUCGUGGCUGUAAACCACGCGUCUUCGGACUUCGGGGGUUCGAAUCCCUCCCGGCCCA
rnacentral:tRNA from 10 species